UUAGGUUUAUACAUUUUAAACCGUCUGUUAAGCUGAAUGUCAUAACUACCUAACCAAACGAUUCCAAUUUCCACCUAAUCAAUUUAGAUUGAAUUGGUUACUUAGCUUUCUUUUAAGAUAAUUAGCACCUACAUUAAUAGGGCUUGACAAGGGCUAUGAAAAGACUAUGAAAAACAGAAAAAAAAGUCUGUCUUAUCAGGUAUUGUUUUUCUUUUUUUUAGCUUUCUGUGUAAACAGAAUGAUUGAUAAUGGUAUCUAAUUUCUUUUAGUGUGUAUAUGUUGGUAAAAUGAUUCCUAUCUAUCCUUUUCAAUGAUGUAUUUUUAUAAUUAAUAAUUAUUUAUAAAACAUAUCAUUAAUUCUAAUAUUUGAUUAGAAUUUUUAAUUAAUUCAAUAAUUUUGAUGGUGCUCAGUAACCAGAGUAGCAUACUUAUUUUGUUUACUAUUAUUUUGAUGUAGAGUAUUUAGACAACUUUUGACCUAAUGAUCAGCAUUUGAUAUGAUAAGCUAAUUUCAUGGUUUGUGUUAAACUUUUUUAUUAUGCUCAUUAAUUUGUUUCAGGCAGUAUUUAAGUUAGAAAAUCAGACACAAGAAUGUAAUUUCUUUGAAUAAGUAUACCAUUUUUUGUUGGAUUUGAACUUCAAGAUGUGAGAAUUAACUGGGACCUAGACGAUAUGGUCCCAAAACUCCAGUUAGCAG